rnacentral:rRNA from 1 species
UGAGGAACAUGACCUUCGGCGGGGGAUAGCCGGCCCAACGGCCGGGUAAUACCGCGUACGACCACAUGGGGACAUCCCUGGAUGGUGAAAGCAGCAAUGCGCCGAUGGAGUGCCUCGCGGCCUAUCAGCUAGUUGGUGAGGUAACGCUCACCAAGGCAACGACGGGUAGCUGGUCUGAGAGGAUGGCCAGCCACAGUUGGGACUGAGACACGGCCCAGACCUGUAACCGGGGAGG